AUUUGGUGAAAUCUCAGCUGGCAACUGUGAGUAGUCGUGCUACCGCUCUCACGGCGGCCGCUGGGAUUGCACUAAAC
rfam:Scleropages formosus scaffold3530, whole genome shotgun sequence.